GGACGAACGCUGGCGGCGUGCCUAACACAUGCAAGUCCNNNNGGGGUACCUUGGAACGAGGCUUCGGCCGAGGGAAAAGGUUACCUAGUGGCGGACGGGUGAGUAACGCGUGAGCAACCUGCCCUUCGGUGGGGGAUAACAGCUGGAAACGGCUGCUAAUACCGCAUAAUAUAGUUGGAUCGCAUGGUCCGACUAUCAAAGAUUUAUUGCCGAAGGAUGGGCUCGCGUCUGAUUAGCUAGUCGGUGAGGUAAUGGCUCACCAAGGCGACGAUCAGUAGCCGGACUGAGAGGUUGAACGGCCACAUUGGGACUGAGAUACGGCCCAGACUCCUACGGGAGGCAGCAGUGGGGAAUAUUGCGCAAUGGGGGAAACCCUGACGCAGCAACGCCGCGUGAAGGAAGAAGGUUUUCGGAUUGUAAACUUCUUUUCUGAGGGACGAAGAAAGUGACGGUACCUUAGGAAUAAGCCACGGCUAACUACGUGCCAGCAGCCGCGGUAAUACGUAGGUGGCAAGCGUUGUCCGGAUUUACUGGGUGUAAAGGGCGAGUAGGCGGGGCGGCAAGUCAGAUGUGAAAACUAUGGGCUCAACCCAUAGACUGCAUUUGAAACUGUUGCUCUUGAGUGAUGG
rnacentral:rRNA from 1 species